UACGGAGGGGGCUAGCGUUGUUCGGAAUUACUGGGCGUAAAGCGCACGUAGGCGGACUUGAAAGUCAGAGGUGAAAAACCAGGGCUCAACCUUGGGACUGCCUUUGAAACUCCCGGUCUUGAGGUCGAGAGAGGUGAGUGGAAUUCCGUGUGUAGAGGUGAAAUUCGUAGAUAUACGGAGGAACACCAGUGGCGAAGGCGGCUCACUGGCUCGAUACUGACGCUGAGGUGCGAAAGCGUGGGGAGCAAACAGG
rnacentral:rRNA from 1 species